rnacentral:rRNA from 1 species
UGCGCCUUGCCAGCCCGCUCAGAAACUUAAAGGAAUUGACGGGACCCCGCACAAGCGGUGGAUCAUGUUGUUUAAUUCGAUGAUACGCGAAGAACCUUACCAGGUCUUGACAUCCCCCGCGAUGCUUUAGAGAUAAAGCGGAGGUAUUCGGGGAGACAGGUGGUGCAUGGUUGUCGUCAGCUCGUGUCGUGAGAUGUUGGGUUAAGUCCCGCAACGAGCGCAACCCCUAUUGCUAGUUACCAUCAUUAAGUUGGGGACUCUAGCGAGACUGCCAGUGAUAAACUGGAGGAAGGUGGGGAUGACGUCAAAUCAUCAUGCCCCUUAUGACCUGGGCUACAAACGUGAUACAAUGGCUGGAACAAAGGGAUGCGAAGCAGUGAUGUGGAGCGAAACCCAUAAAAACAGUCUCAGUUCGGAUUGAAGUCUGCAACUCGACUUCAUGAAGUCGGAAUCGCUAGUAAUCGCGGAUCAGAACGCCGCGGUGAAUACGUUCUCGGGGUUU